rnacentral:rRNA from 1 species
AUUGAACGCUGGCGGCAUGCCUUACACAUGCAAGUCGAACGGUAACAGGUCUUCGGAUGCUGACGAGUGGCGAACGGGUGAGUAAUACAUCGGAACGUGCCUAGUAGUGGGGGAUAACUACUCGAAAGAGUGGCUAAUACCGCAUGAGAUCUACGGAUGAAAGCAGGGGAUCGCAAGACCUUGUGCUACUAGAGCGGCCGAUGGCAGAUUAGGUAGUUGGUGGGAUAAAAGCUUACCAAGCCGACGAUCUGUAGCUGGUCUGAGAGGACGAUCAGCCACACUGGGACUGAGACACGGCCCAGACUCCUACGGGAGUCAGCAGUGGGGAAUUUUGGACAAUGGGCGCAAGCCUGAUCCAGCAAUGCCGCGUGCAGGAUGAAGGCCUUCGGGUUGUAAACUGCUUUUGUACGGAACGGAAAGCCCCGGGUUAAUACCCUGGGGUCAUGACGGUACCGUAAGAAUAAGCACCGGCUAACUACGUGCCAGCAGCCGCCGUAA